GGGCGGUGAUGAGAACUAGUCAUGCACCACUCUGAUUUAUCUGUGCUGAUAAUCUACUAUUUACCCAUUUUAUAUAUAUAUCUGAGCCC